AUUGAACGCUGGCGGCAGGCCUAACACAUGCAAGUCGAGCGCGAAAAUACUUCGGUAUGAGUAGAGCGGCGGACGGGUGAGUAACGCGUAGGAAUCUACCUAGUAGUGGGGGACAACUCGGGGAAACUCGAGCUAAUACCGCAUACGCCCUACGGGGGAAAGCGGGGGAUCUUCGGACCUCGUGCUAUUAGAUGAGCCUGCGUAAGAUUAGCUAGUUGGUGGGUAAUGGCCUACCAAGGCGACGAUCUUUAGCUGGUCUGAGAGGAUGAUCAGCCACACCGGGACUGAGACACGGCCCGGACUCCUACGGGAGCAGCAGUGGGAAUAUUGCGCAAUGGGCGAAAGCCUGACGC
rnacentral:rRNA from 1 species